rnacentral:rRNA from 1 species
AUUGAACGCUGGCGGCAGGCCUAACACAUGCAAGUCGAGCGGUAGCACAGAGAGCUUGCUCUCGGGUGACGAGCGGCGGACGGGUGAGUAAUGUCUGGGAAACUGCCUGAUGGAGGGGGAUAACUACUGGAAACGGUAGCUAAUACCGCAUAAUGUCGCAAGACCAAAGUGGGGGACCUUCGGGCCUCAUGCCAUCAGAUGUGCCCAGAUGGGAUUAGCUAGUAGGUGGGGUAAUGGCUCACCUAGGCGACGAUCCCUAGCUGGUCUGAGAGGAUGACCAGCCACACUGGAACUGAGACACGGUCCAGACUCCUACGGGAGGCAGCAGUGGGGAAUAUUGCACAAUGGGCGCAAGCCUGAUGCAGCCAUGCCGCGUGUGUGAAGAAGGCCUUCGGGUUGUAAAGCACUUUCAGCGGGGAGGAAGGCGAUAAGGUUAAUAACCUUGUCGAUUGACGUUACCCGCAGAAGAAGCACCGGCUAACUCCGUGCCAGCAGCCGCGGUAAUACGGAGGGUGCAAGCGUUAAUCGGAAUUACUGGGCGUAAAGCGCACGCAGGCGGUCUGUCAAGUCGGAUGUGAAAUCCCCGGGCUCAACCUGGGAACUGCAUUCGAAACUGGCAGGCUAGAGUCUUGUAGAGGGGGGUAGAAUUCCAGGUGUAGCGGUGAAAUGCGUAGAGAUCUGGAGGAAUACCGGUGGCGAAGGCGGCCCCCUGGACAAAGACUGACGCUCAGGUGCGAAAGCGUGGGGAGCAAACAGGAUUAGAUACCCUGGUAGUCCACGCCGUAAACGAUGUCGAUUUGGAGGUUGUGCCCUUGAGGCGUGGCUUCCGGAGCUAACGCGUUAAAUCGACCGCCUGGGGAGUACGGCCGCAAGGUUAAAACUCAAAUGAAUUGACGGGGGCCCGCACAAGCGGUGGAGCAUGUGGUUUAAUUCGAUGCAACGCGAAGAACCUUACCUGGUCUUGACAUCCACAGAACUUUCCAGAGAUGGAUUGGUGCCUUCGGGAACUGUGAGACAGGUGCUGCAUGGCUGUCGUCAGCUCGUGUUGUGAAAUGUUGGGUUAAGUCCCGCAACGAGCGCAACCCUUAUCCUUUGUUGCCAGCGGUCCGGCCGGGAACUCAAAGGAGACUGCCAGUGAUAAACUGGAGGAAGGUGGGGAUGACGUCAAGUCAUCAUGGCCCUUACGAGUAGGGCUACACACGUGCUACAAUGGCGCAUACAAAGAGAAGCGACCUCGCGAGAGCAAGCGGACCUCAUAAAGUGCGUCGUAGUCCGGAUUGGAGUCUGCAACUCGACUCCAUGAAGUCGGAAUCGCUAGUAAUCGUGGAUCAGAAUGCCACGGUGAAUACGUUCCCGGGCCUUGUACACACCGCCCGUCACACCAUGGGAGUGGGUUGCAAAAGAAGUAGGUAGCUUAACCUUCGGGAGGGCGCUUACCACUUUGUGAUUCAUGACUGGGGUGA